UUUCAUGAAUUUAGCAUAAGAGGGCAUUUGCUCAAGUACCUCCAAGAAUGGAAUGUUGAUUUCAAGCUUUUUUAACAUCUCCAAGAAUUUCUCGAAGUUCUUCUCAUGUUUCUCUUUCUUCUUAUUUCUUGUUGGGAAAGGGAGUUUGACAACCGGCUUUGAUUCACUAACUUUUUCUUUAACCACGGGUUCAGGUACC
rnacentral:lncRNA from 1 species